rnacentral:SRP_RNA from 2 species
GCCAGGCAUGUUGGCAGGCGCCUGUAAUCCCAGCUACUUGGGAGGCUGAGGCAGGAGAAUCGCUUGAACCCAGGAGGCACAGGUUGCAGUGAGCCGAGAUCACGCCACUGUAUUCUAGCCUGGGUGAGAAAGUGAGACUCUGUCUCAA